CGCCCGAGUUCGGGUCUGUAGCUCAGUUGGUUAGAGCGCACCCCUGAUAAGGGUGAGGUCGGCAGUUCGAAUCUGCCCAGACCCACCAGUUUACUGGUGAGAUAGCUGGUCAGAGUAGACGCCUCCACGGUAUGUAGAAAUACGGGGCCAUAGCUCAGCUGGGAGAGCGCCUGCCUUGCACGCAGGAGGUCAGCGGUUCGAUCCCGCUUGGCUCCACCACUUACUGCUUCUGUUUGAAAGCUUAGAAAUGAGCAUUCCAUUGAUCUUGACGAUCAGUGCCUGAAUGUUGAUUUCUAGUCUUUGAUUAGAUCGUUCUUUAAAAAUUUGGGUAUGUGAUAGAAAGAAAUAUAGACCGGGCACCUCUUUCACUGGUGUGUGUCCGGGCUAAGGUAAAGUUUGUGAAUGCAAACUUUCGGCGAAUGUCGUCUUCACAGUAUAACCAGAUUGCUUGGGGUUAUAUGGUCAAGUGAAGAAGCGCAUAC
rnacentral:tRNA from 1 species